rnacentral:rRNA from 1 species
GAUGAACGCUAGCUACAGGCUUAACACAUGCAAGUCGCGGGGCAGCAUGGGGGUUGCUUGCAAUCCCCGAUGGCGACCGGCGCACGGGUGAGUAACGCGUAUCCAACCUGCCCUUCACCACGGGAUAACCCGGCGAAAGUCGGACUAAUACCGUAUGUUGUCCAUUGACGGCAUCCGAUUUGGACGAAAGGUUUGGCGGUGAAGGAUGGGGAUGCGUCCGAUUAGCUGGACGGCGGGGUGACGGCCCACCGUGGCGACGAUCGGUAGGGGUUCUGAGAGGAAGGUCCCCCACACUGGAACGGAGACACGGUCCAGAGUCCUACGGGAGGCAGCAGUGAGGAAUCUUGGUCAAUGGGCGUAAGCCUGAACCGGCCAAGUAGCGUGCAGGAUGACGGCCCUAUGGGUUGUAAACUGCUUUUAUGCGGGGAUAAAGUGGCGCGCGUGUGGGUUUUUGCAGGUACCGCAUGAAUAAGGACCGGCUAAUUCCGUG